rnacentral:rRNA from 1 species
GACGAACGCUGGCGGCGUGCUUAACACAUGCAAGUCGAACGCUGAAGCUCAGCUUUUGUUGGGUGGAUGAGUGGCGAACGGGUGAGUAACACGUGAGUAACCUGCCUCCUUCUUUGGGAUAACGCCCGGAAACGGGUGCUAAUACUGGAUAUUCACUGGUCUUCGCAUGGGGGUUGGUGGAAAGGGUUUUUCUGGUGGGGGAUGGGCUCGCGGCCUAUCUGCUUGUUGGUGGGGUGAUGGCCUACCAAGGCUUUGACGGGUAGCCGGCCUGAGAGGGUGACCUGGAACAGAGAGACGGAGCAGCGGCCCAGACGAGGACGGGGGGCAGAAGUGGGGAAAAUGGGAGAAUGGGUGAAAGACUGAUGCAGCGUCGGCGAGGGAGGGAUGGGGGCCUUCAAGUUGUGAACCUCGUUCACAAAAGGUGAAGCCGCAACAAUGGUUGUGGUGAGGGUAGUGAGUAAAGAAGCGCCGGCUAACUACGUG